AUUGAACGCUGGCGGCAUGCUUUACACAUGCAAGUCGAACGGCAGCGCGGGCUUCGGCCUGGCGGCGAGUGGCGAACGGGUGAGUAAUACAUCGGAACGUGCCCAGGAGUGGGGGAUAGCUCGGCGAAAGCCGGAUUAAUACCGCAUACGACCUGAGGGUGAAAGCGGGGGAUCUUCGGACCUCGCGAUAUGGGAGCGGCCGAUGGCAGAUUUGCUAGUUGGUGGGGUAAAGGCCUACCAAGGCGACGAUCUGUAGCUGGUCUGAGAGGGCGACCAGCCACACUGGAACUGAGACACGGCCCCGACUCCUACGGGACGCAGCAGUGUGGAAUUUUGGACAAUGGGCGAAAGCCUGAUCCAGCAAUGCCGCGUGUGUGAUGAAGGCCUUCGGGUUGUAAAGCACUUUUGGCGGGAACGAAAAGGACUGUGCCAAUACCACGGUUCGAUGACGGUACCCGCAGAAUAAGCACCGGCUAACUACGUG
rnacentral:rRNA from 1 species